GCGGAGGGAUCAUUACCGAGUUUACAACUCCCAAACCCCUGUGAACAUACCAAUUGUUGCCUCGGCGGAUCAGCCCGCUCCCGGUAAAACGGAACGGCCCGCCAGAGGACCCCUAAACUCUGUUUCUAUAUGUAACUUCUGAGUAAAACCAUAAAUAAAUCAAAACUUUCAACAACGGAUCUCUUGGUUCUGGCAUCGAUGAAGAACGCAGCAAAAUGCGAUAAGUAAUGUGAAUUGCAGAAUUCAGUGAAUCAUCGAAUCUUUGAACGCACAUUGCGCCCGCCAGUAUUCUGGCGGGCAUGCCUGUUCGAGCGUCAUUUCAACCCUCAAGCCCCCGGGUUUGGUGUUGGGGAUCGGCGAGCCUCACGGCAAGCCGGCCCCGAAAUACAGUGGCGGUCUCGCUGCAGCUUCCAUUGCGUAGUAGUAAAACCCUCGCAACUGGUACGCGGCGCGGCCAAGCCGUUAAACCCCCAACUUCUGAAUGUUGACCUCGGAUCAGGUAGGAAUACCCGCUGAACUUAAGCAUAUCAAUA
rnacentral:rRNA from 1 species